UACGUAGGGUGCGAGCGUUAAUCGGAUUUACUGGGCGUAAAGCGAGCGCAGGUGGUUUAAUAAGUCUGAUGUAAAAGGCAGUGGCUCAACCAUUGUGUGCAUUGGAAACUGUUAGACUUGAGUGCAGUAGAGGAGAGUGGAAUUCCAUGUGUAGCGGUGAAAUGCGUAGAGAUAUGGAGGAACACCAGUGGCGAAGGCGACCAUCUGGCUGAUAACUGACGCUGAGGUGCGAGAGCGUGGGGAGCAAACAGG
rnacentral:rRNA from 1 species